rnacentral:rRNA from 1 species
GACAGAGGGUGCAAACGUUGUUCGGAAUUACUGGGCGUAACGCGUGCGCAGGCGGUUUUGUAAGACAGAUGUGAAAUCCCCGGGCUUAACCUGGGAACUGCAUUUGUGACUGCAAGACUAGAGUGCGGCAGAGGGGGGUAGAAUUCCACGUGUAGCAGUGAAAUGCGUAGAUAUGUGGAGGAAUACCGAUGGCGAGGGCAGCCCCCUGGGUCGACACUGACGCUCAUGCACGAAAGCGUGGGGAGCAAACAGG